rnacentral:snRNA from 1 species
GUGCUCAGUUCAGCAGCACAUAUACUAAAAUUGGAACAAUAUAGAGAAGAUUAGCAUGGCCCCUACGCAAGGAUGACACGCAAAUUCGUGAAGUGUAUUUUCUUCAU